rnacentral:tmRNA from 1 species
GGGGGCGAACUGGUAUCGACCGGACAGUCAAAGUAAUGGUGGCGUGUCGUGGUUGGUCAGCGGGCCACGUAAAAAGCUGACUGGCAAAAUUAUCUGCCGAAGAUCAACUUGUUUUGGCUGCCUAACAUAGGUAGUCCCGACACUUCUUCCAGGUCGGAGGGAGGAUUUGUUGGACAGCAUCUCCGACUCGCUUCUUCUCACGUUGAGCACGGAAGCAGUUAAAUAAAGUUCUCAUCUAGCAAGGCGAGGACCCUGUUCUGAGGGGCCUGCUGAGCGAAAUUUAAAAUCAGAACUACACACGUAGAAGCUAUUAUGGCGUUGUCACGGGACGCGGGUUCGAUUCCCGCCGCCUCCA